rnacentral:sRNA from 1 species
GUCAAAAUAGAAUCUUAACUAGGGAACUGUAGACCAGGGCACCAAGCUUACGUACAAAUUACGAUACAUAAUACAUAGUUACAUACAUAUACGGAUACACCUGUUCCAACACAUAAGAUACUGGAUGCAUGGUCCUUUAGAGCAUCCCCAAUGGUUAAGAUGUUAAAGCUUUUAAUCUUGGAUCUUAACCUUUUUUAAAAUUAAAAUUUUGCUUUUUCAAAGUUAAGAUAAGUUAGAGAAUAUCUUAAUUUAUUUAUGCUCCAUUGGUUAAGAAGCAAAAAGUUCUUAAGGGAAAAAAUUUAAAUUAUUUAUGUUCCAAUGGUUUUUUUUUCCUUACUUUUGUUUAUUUGUGUACCCAAUAAAUACACAACACCUGUCCACUUCUUAAACUUAAGAAAAUAUCUUGGUUAAGAUAUAAAUCUUAACUAAUCUUAGCUGCUUUUAUUAAAUUUAAUCAGUUUAUUAGCUA